GACGAACGCUGGCGGCGUGCCUAAUACAUGCAAGUCGGACGCUGAAGGAGGAGCUUGCUUCUCUGGAUGAGUUGCGAACGGGUGAGUAACGCGUAGGUAACCUGCCUGGUAGCGGGGGAUAACUAUUGGAAACGAUAGCUAAUACCGCAUAAUAGUAGAUGUUGCAUGACAUUUGCUUAAAAGGUGCAAUUGCAUCACUACCAGAUGGACCUGCGUUGUAUUAGCUAGUUGGUGGGGUAACGGCUCACCAAGGCGACGAUACAUAGCCGACCUGAGAGGGUGAUCGGCCACACUGGGACUGAGACACGGCCCAGACUCCUACGGGAGGCAGCAGUAGGGAAUCUUCGGCAAUGGACGGAAGUCUGACCGAGCAACGCCGCGUGAGUGAAGAAGGUUGUCGGAUCGUAAAGCUCUGUUGUAAGAGAAGAACGAGUGUGAGAGUGGAAAGUUCACACUGUGACGGUAUCUUACCAGAAAGGGACGGCUAACUACGUG
rnacentral:rRNA from 1 species